rnacentral:rRNA from 1 species
AUGAACGCCGGCGGCGUGCCUAAUACAUGCAAGUUGAGCGAACGGACGAGAAGCUUGCUUUUCUGAUGUUAGCGGCGGACGGGAGAGUAACACGUGGAUAACCUACCUAUAAGACUGGGAUAACUUCGGGAAACCGGAGCUAAUACCGGAUAAUAUUUUGAACCGCAUGGUUCAAAAGUGAAAGACGGUCUUGCUGUCACUUAUAGAUGGAUCCCCGCUGCAUUAGCUAGUUGGUAAGGUAACGGCUUACCAAGGCAACGAUGCCUAGCCGACCUGAGAGGGUGAUCGGCCACACUGGAACUGAGACACGGUCCAGACUCCUACGGGAGGCAGCAGUAGGGAAUCUUGCGCAAUGGGCGAAAGCCUGACGGAGCAACGCCGAGUGAGUGAUGAAGGUCUUCGGAUCGUAAAACUCUGUUAUUAGGGAAGAAAAUAUGUGUAAGUAACUGUGCACAUCUUGACGGUACCUAAUCAAAAAGCCACGGCUAACUUCGUG